AUGAUUGAGAGGAUUGACAACGCGACAAACCGUCAGCUGACCUUCUCCAAGCAGCGCGGAGGGCUGAUGAAGAAGGCCUGGGAGCUCGCCAUCCUCUGCGAGGCCGAUCUCGCGCUCAUCGUCUUCUCCAGCACGGGUCGCCUCUACGACUUUGCAAGCUCUAGGCCUGUAGUUAAUUAA
rnacentral:rRNA from 1 species